UACGGAGGGUGCAAGCGUUAUCCGGAUUUACUGGGCUUAAAGGGUGCGUAGGUGGAUAAUUAAGUCAGUGGUGAAAUCUUCAGGCUUAACCUGGAAACUGCCAUUGAUACUAUUUGUCUUGAAUACUUUGGAGGUAAGCGGAAUAUGUCAUGUAGCGGUGAAAUGCUUAGAUAUGACAUAGAACACCAAUUGCGAAGGCAGCUUACUACACAGUAAUUGACACUGAGGCACGAAAGCGUGGGGAUCAAACAGG
rnacentral:rRNA from 1 species